rnacentral:tmRNA from 1 species
GGGCUUUCAAUUCGCAAGCACCUCACCUAUAUGUAGCGUGCUGGCUUGCCAGCUAUGGCGAUAAACGGCGCACUUAGUAGGUUUUGCGGACCCGGGGGCGGUACCCGGCGCCUCCACCAGGAGGAGUUCUCACAGCGUUUUUUCCCGUGCAGGCGGGGACUUCUGCUGAUGGGGGCGAAAUAGGAUCGACGUGGAUUGAAGGGUGUUUUGCUUUUCGCUCGGGAUGGUACCGCCGUGAUGGGCCAAACUUGAUAAAUGCCAACGACAACGACGUCGAGUUCGCUCUGGCUGCGUAAGCAGCUCGCGUGAACUGCAUUUAAAUUCCGGGGGGUUGACGCCUCGCGGUGGGGUCUGGUCCACCUAGCAACAGAACGGACCACU